CUUUGGACUUUCCCACUUUUAUUUAAGAGUCCGCACGGGAAAAGAGGAAAAAAAAAAUUCCAGAGGAGAUCCGAAUGAAUUGGAAAGAAAAAAAAAAAUAUUCAACAGGGUGUCCACGGCGGCGAAAAAGCCGGCCUCCCGCCCUCCUGCUCUUCCCUUCAGCGUUUCCACAUGCUUUCCAGAGAGGAAAGAGGUUAAAGGGAAAAGAAGAAUGAAUUACAUCCUUUCAAACCCCAAAUUGUUUCCUUUUCAGCCCAGACUCCACCGACCUUCAAACGACAACUGGGUGUUCAGGAGGGUGUGGGGAGACCUGGCACCCUUAGCCACAUUGCUCCUCUUUCACAGCCAAAAAGGACAACAGCUCCAGCAGAAAGAGGCCCUCUUCUUGGUGCUGGGCACAGAGGCGCAUCACAGGCCCCCCAACAAGUGGGAACUACCCCCUUCACACACACACACACACACACACACACACCCUCCUAGCUCUUUAGAAAGCACCUCUGUGGCAAACACGAUUGUUAGGUUGCUUUUUCCAACUCCUGUUGGCCCCACAAAUGACCGAUCGGUAGUCACUCCAACAGCCCUGGACUUGCCCCUCACCCCCAACUCCUCUUGGCACUAUAUGCCUCUCCCACUGGAGGUUCUCUGGUAUGAAACUGGAUUGGAAUGAGACUUGCUCUGCUGUGCUAGCUGUUGGAACCCUAUAGCACUUUCUGUUUCAGCGUGUAAAACCAAAGCCAGGGCAAUUUCACGAUGGGGAAGAUGACGACACAGACACCAUUGCUUGAAUCUUUGUGACUCUCAGCUGACACUGCUGCAGAGCGGUCCUGCCCCUGCACAGGGGUCUCCACCCAGAAAGAAGCCAGAAGCCACCCCCCCACACACACACCCCCAGCAUCAAGCUCUGUGCGUCCCUCAGUUUGACUGUCAGACUCUCUCCGCCCAGUGCUGACAUGCUGGUGGGCAAGUGUGCCCCAUCUAAUGUAACUUGGGUUUGGUGUUCAACUUCGCUGCUGCUGCUUUUUGAAAUCCUGAACAGGGGAACAGCCCUAAGCAAACACAACAGUAAACAAGCCGGUCCUGUUUCAUGUGGUUACCACUGGACAGCUGGAAAGAUGGUUUGAUCCUGGCAGCUCACAAUGUUUUCACUAGCAGCCAAAGAGAAUAUUUCGAAUGUUUGCAUUGAGACAAAUUGAUACAGAGUCUGUGGUGAGGCCUGCUGCAAAGGGAAGCUGUCUUGUCCUGGGGGGGGGGGGGGCUUCCCUUUUCCUCCUCACCCCCUUCUUUCCUCUCCCCUGCAUCCCUUUCUCUCUCUCCAUGCUGCCCCUCCCUGGUCUCCAGGCCUAGCCCGGAGCCCACACACUGGCACACACCCUCUUUCCUGGCUCACCCUUCCCUUUCCCAGACUGGGCAGGGCUGGUGCCCAGGAGCUGCUACGGGUACCAUCGGGCCCCAUUCCAUCCGCCCAGCUCUGGCUUUCAACUCGGGGAAAACACAGCCAAGGAAGCCCUGGCUGAGCAUUUAAAACAAAAACUACCAACUCGUUUUUUUUUUAAAAAAAUACUCCUACAACAAAA